UGAGCCACUGCACCUGACCAGUCUCAGGUAUUUCUUUAUAGCAAUGCGAGAACAGACUAAUACAUAAGGCAACAUGAGGAUGGCAUGAAGUGCAAGAGGCUGGAGACAAGGGACCAUUUUAAGGAAAGUCUCUGGUGACUUAUGGAAGAAGUGAAACUAGACUAUGUCAUCAGGGCAUAAUAUUCCUACUGGAAAAAUAAUUUGAAAU
rnacentral:lncRNA from 10 species